GACUCUGUAGAUCAGUUGGUUAGAGUGCUGCAUGCAACAGAAUAGCAGGGUCAUGAUCGCAGGUUUGAUUUCUGCCAGAGGGU